AGUGAACGCUGGCGGUAGGCCUAACACAUGCAAGUCGAACGGCAGCACAGGAGAGCUUGCUCUCUGGGUGGCGAGUGGCGGACGGGUGAGGAAUACAUCGGAAUCUACCUUGUCGUGGGGGAUAACGUAGGGAAACUUACGCUAAUACCGCAUACGACCUUCGGGUGAAAGUGGGGGACCGCAAGGCCUCACGCGAUUAGAUGAGCCGCAGUCGGAUUAGCUAGUUGGCGGGGUAAAAGCCCACCAAGGCGACGAUCCGUAGCUGGUCUGAGAGGAUGAUCAGCCACACUGGAACUGAGACACGGUCCAGACUCCUACGGGAGGCAGCAGUGGGGAAUAUUGGACAAUGGGCGCAAGCCUGAUCCAGCCAUACCGCGUGGGUGAAGAAGGCCUUCGGGUUGUAAAGCCCUUUUGUUGGGAAAGAAAUCUUGCCGGUUAAUACCUGGCGAGGAUGACGGUACCCAAAGAAUAAGCACCGGCUAACUUCGUGCCAGCAGCCGCAGUAAUAC
rnacentral:rRNA from 1 species